GUACGGGGUUGUAGAGAGACAGAGACAGAGACAGAGACAGAGACAGAGAAUGGCUAGAAUCCUACCACCGGCGUCGUCAUCGCCACCGCCGUCGACUUCACAACUUUCCCCUUCACUUCUACCUUCUCUUUUACUCUCUUCUUCUUCUUGUUCUCGACUCCGUGUUCCUCUCUCUCGUGCUUACAUCCCUUCGCGGAGAAUCGCACUCCUUCACCUCGGCGGCGCUAUUCCUCAGUCAUUGUUAUCUGGUGUAAAAGCUUCCACAUUGCUAAGACUGGAGGGGAAUUCUAUAGAGGGCUCUACAGCUGCAAAUAUGGCACAACCUAGUACUAAUGUCACAGAGAAUAAUGCAAUAGACUGGGUCAAAAAUGACAACAGAAGAAUGCUUCAUGUUGUUUAUCGCGUCGGGGAUUUGGAUAAGACAAUAAAAUUCUAUACUGAGUGCUUGGGUAUGAAGCUGUUGAGAAAACGUGACAUACCUGAGGAGAGAUAUUCAAAUGCUUUUCUUGGAUAUGGGCCCGAAGAAUCCAAUUUUGCUAUUGAACUUACUUACAAUUAUGGAGUUGACAAGUAUGACAUUGGAACUGGUUUUGGUCACUUUGGUAUUGCAGUCAAAGACGUUAUGAAAGUGGUGGAUCUUGUAAAAGCAAAGGGAGGCAAAGUAACAGGGGAACCUUCUCCCAUUAAAGGUGGCAAUACCACUAUUGCCUUCAUUGAAGAUCCAGAUGGUUAUAAGUUUAAGCUUUUGGAGAGGGGGCCUACACCUGAACCACUAUGUCAAUUAAUGCUGCGAGUGGGAGACCUUGAUCGCUCAAUAACUUACCAUAAGAAGGCCUAUGGCAUGGAGCUUCUUAGAAAAAGAGAUUACCCUGAAUACAAGUACACCACAGCAAUGAUGGGCUAUGGUCCUGAAGAUAAAAAUGUUGUGCUGGAAUUGACAUAUAACUAUGGGGUCAAAGAAUAUGACAAAGGAAAUGGUUAUGCACAGAUUGCAAUAGGCACUAACGAUGUCUACAAGACUGCAGAAGCAAUAAAAGUGUUUGGCGGAAAAAUCGCCCUUCAACCUGGGCCUUUGCCGGGAAUCAACACUAAGAUUAUGGCUUGCUUGGACCCUGAUGGUUGGAAAUCGGUCUUUGUUGAUAAUGUUGAUUUUCUCAAGGAGUUAGAGUAACCAAAGCAUCAGCCUAGCUUCUCUUGACUGAAUCUAUGGAGAGAUUCAUAAUGAUUUUGUUGUUUAGAGAUUUUCCAUAACAAAAUGAUGGUACUACAACUGAUGGAUUGAUACCUGUAGCCGCUCCAGCGGUUAGGGCCAUGAUGUCUCCAUUAGUCCUUGCGUUAACUGCAGAACUGACCACUGCCAAGAUGUGUUCCUGCUCAGCUCCCAUUUCCUCUGCUAUCUCAAUGCAAUGUGAUGCUACUAAAGCUGCUGCAGAUGCAACCGCAGCUGAUGUUUUGGAAGGUGCCUUGUGUUGAGUAGUCGACUUUUCAGGCAAUGUCGCUAAUGAGGCAGUGAGAGCAGCCACAGCAGCAGCGACCCCGGCCACAGAUACUGCUGAGUGCAAUUGGGCAUUGUGGGUUCUUAACUCCUGCUUCUUCCUCUCCUUUUGAUCUUUCAACCAUCUGCCCACUGUCCUUCCUCUCACAAUGUUCUUAUACAACUGAAGAACCAUAAUACUAGUCAGAGAUAUAUUGGUAAUGGUCAUUGUGAUUCAUGAGUUUUGAGUCAGACAUACCCCAUUUUUUACUAGUUGCUGACUAAUGAGGGAAUCUGGAUUUAGGGCUCGAUGGAGUAAAAAGAGCUCCUGUGCAGAAUAACUGUUAUGUUAGUUUAUAGCACGAAAGAAAAAGAAAAUGAUUUUUAACUCAUUUGUUUC